UACGUAGGUGGCAAGCGUUGUCCGGAUUUACUGGGCGUAAAGAGCGCGCAGGCGGUCGUUCAAGUCGCGUGUGAAAGCCCCCGGCUCAACUGGGGAGGGUCACGCGAUACUGAUCGACUCGAAGGCAGGAGAGGGUAGUGGAAUUCCCGGUGUAGUGGUGAAAUGCGUAGAUAUCGGGAGGAACACCAGUGGCGAAGGCGGCUUCCUGGACACCAACUGACGCUGAGACGCGAAAGCGUGGGGAGCGAACAGG
rnacentral:rRNA from 1 species